UGUCAUGGAGUUGCUCUCUUUC
rnacentral:miRNA from 1 species